rnacentral:ncRNA from 1 species
CUUAUCCAGAACGGCAGAGGGGACGGCCCGAUGAAGCCUAGCAACCGGUCUUAGUCCGUUGAGACGGGCGAGGAUACGGUGCUAACUCCGGCGUCUGGCGUUGGUCAAUCAACGGCAGGCGAAAGAUAAGG